AUUAUUGCAAGAACGUAAAAAAAAAAAUAUACGCAUUAAUUGUUUAAAUUUCACGAUUUAAAAAAUAAAAAGGAAUUUUCAAUCAGAUUAGAAAAAUUCGAUGAACGUUCUUUUUAAUGGUCAGUCCAAUUACUCCGAUCCAUUAAUUAAGCGUGCACGGUUUGGCCAGAAUUGGUCAAACCGAAGCAACCAACACCCACGCGCGGUGCAAUCACAAACGGAGGAGGUGCGCGGCGUGGUGCACACGUGUGCAGCCGCGACAGAGGCUGCACUUCACGCUUGGUUCGCAUUGGUGCCAAGGUUGCGUUCGCGCUAGUGCGUGGAUUAAUCGAGCCAGCGCGAACCGCUCUGGUGAAACCGUCCUAUGCUCUUAUCACACGUUGUUACACGUGUUGUAACGCGUGCGUGUGUGUUACGAGGAAGAGAGAGAGAGGGAAGAAGAUCUAGACCGGGCAAAUAGAGUGGUGGAAAUUACGCGAAGGAGGUGAAGUUCACUUUUUUUUACAACGAGCACUCUGUGCUCGAGAGAGGAAGCCAAGUAUCGGGGAGAGGUCUGUAAAUAUUCCGGAUGGAGAUAGAUAUAUUUUUUCAAACAACCACUCUUUUUCGCGGUUCUCGUGGCGUAGGAUUUUGUACCCUCUUCGAGUAACAAGAAUUUCUUUUACUUCAUAGAUAAACCUUAUAUGAAAUCUAUCUUGUAAAUAAAAAUAGUAGAGGAAAAAUACUUGCGAGAAAGUAAUGAUCGGACAUCUGGUGAUAAGCCAAGCAACAGUUUAAUAUAUAUAUAUAGAAUUGAGAUAAUUUUCUAGAACAAAAUUAUUAAUAUAUUUUUAUUAUAUAGAGAAUUUUUUAAUAAAAUGAUGCGUAUGAAAGUUUAUUGUUUAUUCGAAUACGUGCACGCUUCGAGAGUUUUCUAAAUAUCAACGUGUAGGUUUCAUUUUAUUAACUUUGUAGCAGAGAACUUUGCGAUAUUUAUACAUUUCUGUAAACAGAAAUUUUUUUUUUAUUUCGCGCGUUAAAUUAUCUUAUCGAUAUUUUGAAAAUUUUAAGAAUGGAAAGAAGAUUUUUCCAUCUUAAAGAAUCUGCCUACGUAACCUCUUCGAGGAAAAGGAAAGGAAGAAAGAGAGAGAAAAAUAGACGAACGAAAAGAAGUUCGAAAUGUGCGUCAUUCGAUGCGUUUGUUGGCCGGCAACAGGGGCAACGCGAUAAGCCUCGAAAAGCCUCGUAAAUUGCGGCAGAGGCGUAGAUAACGAGGCGCAUUGGCGUGACCUUCUCGCGGCGGCUGCGUUCGCGGGCCGGCCGCUUGCUUUAAGGCCGGCUUUUAAAGCCGCUGCUUGCGACUGAUAACGAUGCGAUCGGCGAGAUCGCCGCGAGCGCAUGCGUUUUCACUCGCCAAUUCUACACGCCAUUCAAGUUUCAAUAGCCGACCUUCAUCCUACGCGUUCAACGCUAGACGAUCGAGCGCGUUAAACGGGGCCCGAUCCACGAGCGGUUGCGGAAUCGGCGUGAGUCACUCGAGUGCCGAGAUAUCGAUAAUACGUGAAUGAUAAUACACCAAUUCGCAGGAUCAUCUCCACGUCCGGCAAACGAGAAACUUUGCUAUCACAUUGCUCGUGAAAGCUUGGUUGGUGAUUUCCUGUUACACGGUCCCAUCGGAAGCGCGGGUUUACGUGACGAGGCUCCAUUUGCCGAUCUCGCGGGAAUGUCAAGGUUCCCGGUGCAAUUUCACGCUGAAACGCGAUUCGUGCGUCCGACGUUUCCAGCCCGACCCCACCGUGGCUGCUUCCGUGGAAAACUUGGCGGGACCAUCGGCUAUCGAACGAGGCCCGAAUUGGGUCAAGUGCGGAUUUCCCAAGGAAACGCAUGCACCGUCGUCCUCGUGAAAACAGGGAAUAGAAUUGAAAUGAAAGAUGAAUCUUUCACACUUGUGUGAUUGUAACGUUUCUGAAUAAUUAGAAAGGAUUAAUUUUGAAU